GACGAACGCUGGCGGCGUGCUUAACACAUGUAAGUCGAACGAUGAAGCCAGCUUGCUGGUGGAUUAGUGGCGAACGGGUGAGUAACACGUGGGUGAUCUGCCCCAAACUUUGGGAUAAGCCUGGGAAACUGGGUCUAAUACCGAAUAUGACCGAUACUCGCAUGGGUGUUGGUGGAAAGCUCCGGCGGUUUGGGAUGGGCCCGCGGCCUAUCAGCUUGUUGGUGGGGUAAUGGCCUACCAAGGCGACGACGGGUAGCCGGCCUGAGAGGGCGACCGGCCACACUGGGACUGAGACACGGCCCAGACUCCUACGGGAGGCAGCAGUGGGGAAUAUUGCACAAUGGGCGCAAGCCUGAUGCAGCGACGCCGCGUGAGGGAUGACGGCCUUCGGGUUGUAAACCUCUUUCACCAGGGACGAAGCGAAAGUGACGGUACCUGGAGAAGAAGCACCGGCCAACUACGUG
rnacentral:rRNA from 1 species